rnacentral:rRNA from 1 species
UACAGAGGUCUCAAGCGUUGUUCGGAUUCAUUGGGCGUAAAGGGUGCGCAGGCGGCGCGGUAAGUCGGGUGUGAAAUCUCGGAGCUUAACUCCGAAACUGCAUUCGAUACUGCCGUGCUUGAGGACUGGAGAGGAGACUGGAAUUUACGGUGUAGCGGUGAAAUGCGUAGAUAUCGUAAGGAAGACCAGUGGCGAAGGCGGGUCUCUGGACAGUUCCUGACGCUGAGGCAUGAAGGUCAGGGGAGCAAACGGG